rnacentral:rRNA from 1 species
GACGAACGCUGGCGGCGUGCUUAACACAUGCAAGUCGAACGAUGAUCUCCCGCUUGCGGGGGUGAUUAGUGGCGAACGGGUGAGUAAUACGUGAGUAACCUGCCCUUGACUCUGGGAUAAGCCUGGGAAACCGGGUCUAAUACUGGAUACUACUUCCUGCCGCAUGGUGGGGGGUGGAAAGGGUUUUACUGGUUUUGGAUGGGCUCACGGCCUAUCAGCUUGUUGGUGGAGUAAUGGCUCACCAAGGCGACGACGGGUAGCCGGCCUGAGAGGGUGACCGGCGACACUAGGGCUGAGACACGGCCCAGACUCCUACGGGAGGCAGCAGUGGGGAGUGUUGCACUAUGAGCGGAAGCCUGAUGCAGCGACGCCGCGUAGGGGAUGACGGGCUACGGGUUGUAGACCUCAUUCAGCAGGGAAGAGGCCACAAGUGACGGUACCUGCAGGAGGAGCACCGGCUAACUACGUG